AACGUAGGUUCCGAGCGUUAUCCGGAUUUACUGGGCGUAAAGCGUGUUCAGGCGGCUCAGCAAGUCGGGCAUGAAAUCUCUCGGCUCAACCGGGAGAGGCUGUCCGAUACUGCUGGGCUUGAGGGCAGUAGAGGGUGGUGGAAUUCCGGGUGUAGUGGUGAAAUGCGCAGAUAUCAGGAAGAACACCAAUGGCGAAGGCAGCUCUCUGGGACGGUACUGACGCUGAGACGCGAAAGCGUGGGGAGCGAACAGG
rnacentral:rRNA from 1 species